AGAGUUUGAUCAUGGCUCAGGACGAACGCUGGCGGCGUGCCUAAUACAUGCAAGUCGAGCGAGCGGAACUAACAGAUUUACUUCGGUAAUGACGUUAGGAAAGCGAGCGGCGGAUGGGUGAGUAACACGUGGGGAACCUGCCCCAUAGUCUGGGAUACCACUUGGAAACAGGUGCUAAUACCGGAUAAGAAAGCAGAUCGCAUGAUCAGCUUUUAAAAGGCGGCGUAAGCUGUCGCUAUGGGAUGGCCCCGCGGUGCAUUAGCUAGUUGGUAAGGUAAAGGCUUACCAAGGCGAUGAUGCAUAGCCGAGUUGAGAGACUGAUCGGCCACAUUGGGACUGAGACACGGCCCAAACUCCUACGGGAGGCAGCAGUAGGGAAUCUUCCACAAUGGACGCAAGUCUGAUGGAGCAACGCCGCGUGAGUGAAGAAGGUUUUCGGAUCGUAAAGCUCUGUUGUUGGUGAAGAAGGAUAGAGGUAGUAACUGGCCUUUAUUUGACGGUAAUCAACCAGAAAGUCACGGCUAACUACGUGCCAGCAGCCGCGGUAAUACGUAGGUGGCAAGCGUUGUCCGGAUUUAUUGGGCGUAAAGCGAGCGCAGGCGGAAGAAUAAGUCUGAUGUGAAAGCCCUCGGCUUAACCGAGGAACUGCAUCGGAAACUGUUUUUCUUGAGUGCAGAAGAGGAGAGUGGAACUCCAUGUGUAGCGGUGGAAUGCGUAGAUAUAUGGAAGAACACCAGUGGCGAAGGCGGCUCUCUGGUCUGCAACUGACGCUGAGGCUCGAAAGCAUGGGUAGCGAACAGGAUUAGAUACCCUGGUAGUCC
rnacentral:rRNA from 1 species